rnacentral:lncRNA from 1 species
UCGAAAGAGACACCGAAACAAUCCCAGCAACUGACGCGCAUGCAGAUAACGCUAACAUGAAUUCCUUCAAAUCAAGAUUCGGACUCGUGAAGGAAUAAUUACCAACUCCGUCAAGGUAGAGAUGAAGCUUAAGUACCUUGGCAACGAUGCUUGACAAGAGGAAGCAAGAAAAUGCGAUAACUUCACAGAGAAUCAGCCUUUUGGCUUCUCUAGGACCUGAGCGACACUCUCGUCUCGAAUCCAGGCUUUUAAUGUCUGGCGUAGCCAAGGAUAAGCCCACAAAUACGGCUAUAGUGAGUAGUGAAUUCACGUUGACAAGAUCAUCCAGGAGUUUUAGAUGAACUUCUUUUACAUCAAGAUCUUCUUUCUUCUUUUCCUCGUUACCCAUGUGAAGGCCUUUGUUUUCAGACCAGCUUCUGAGAAGUAAAUCUGAAAGCACUAGAACAUAUGUAGAAAUUUUGUUACUGUUAUUAUAAACAAAUAAAUAAUUUAUACACAAUAGUUAAGAUAGAUUUGUUUUAAACGGGAUAUACCUUGUUAGUUGUUACAGGGGCUCUGAAAUCUGGAUGAGUUAAGUUUAGUGGUGAACAUGAAGUCGUGACCAACGACUUAAAUAGCCGAGGUAAACGUCCAUAUGAUAAAUUUCAUCAGAUUAGUUGGUGUGAAAAAAUUAAAGAACGAAGGUCUACUAAUGAAUGAGUUGACCCAACCAAAUUUUAUAUAUCAAGUUGUGUAUCACUUGCGUGGGAAUUUUUAUAUUAAUUCCUUACAAUUGUAUCAGAAAUCUUCGCAGUGGUUAGUUGUUAAUAGGUCGAUAUGAACUAUUCGAUAUCUCAACUUAAAUCUGGUUCGAAAAUAUGAUACAUAUCUCAUAUUUGUUUUGAAAAUGAUCUAGAUCUGAUAAAAAAGUUAAAAUCAGUUGAUAUAUGAUCCUCGAUAUGAGCACUCCUAUAUCGCUUGGAUUAGAUUUCAUAUAACUUUUCAUAAUAUAAUCCUACGUACCCAAAUACCUGAAUAUGAUCUAUUAUUCAUGUUCAAUUCGAACUUAUAUACAUAUUAUAUUUUUAGGGUCAAGGAUGCAAGGGAGAGAAGAAUUAUAAUGUUCCAAUUUCGACCAUUACAACGCAAUAUUAGUUUGGUUUAUAUAUUUAUGACCAAUAUUUUAUUAAUAAACCCAAUUAACAAUAUUUAUCACUAUUUAUCACUAGAAAAUGUUGUGUUCUCCGUAUCAACUAGUUAUAUAUAUGUUUGAAUUAUAUUAUAAUUUAAUUUUGUUAUUAGUCAAUUUUAACUUAAAGAUAAAUAUAUGUUUAAAAUUAUACAAUAAUAUGUAUAUUGUAUAAUAUCUAGUAUAUAAAAUAAUAUAAGUAUAUUAUAUAUAAUUUAAUAUGAUGUAUAAUAGAUAAAGUUAUAUAUAUAAUUUCAUAUUAUAUAAUAUGUGUAUUGUAUAUUUUUUAGUAUAUAAAAAAAUAUAUAAGUAUAUUAUAUAUAAUUUAAUAUGAUGUAUAAUAUAUAAAAUUAUAUACAAACUUAAAUGCGAAUUAAUACUUUUACAAAUAUAAGGAGGUUUGUGUGUUCUGAGAGUGGACUCCUAGGUGGGCCUUGACAAGAUAUAAGUGGGGCUGAAUGGACGGGGGUGGGCCCUAUCGGGAAGGUGGUGAGGUAAAGUAUUUGCUCUUGAGUUUGUCAUAGGUCCUGUUCGGACUUCGGAGCAUUAGUGAGGCAUCAGUGAGCCCGAGAUGGAUUGAGUGGCGUCAAGGGUGGAUCACGGGUGGGUGAUGACAAUUUGGAGGGGGUGAUUGACAUAUAGUCCUAUUUUUUUUUAGUUCGCAUUUUAAGAUUCAUAUUUUGUGGUUUGUAUUUCAUCAUUAAUCUAUAUAAUAUUAUAUAUUCGGAUUUAUUUCGGGUUUCAGAUCAGUAUACCUAAUAUCUAAAUUCUAAUCUGAAAAUUUAGUUCAAUAAAUCUAAAAUUUCGGAUAUUGAAACGGAUAUGUGUAUGAUCCGGUUAUUUUUACAUCCUGUUCUUUUGUGGGUUUAUGGUCAGAUCUCAAGUUUCAAUUUUAAGACACUUUCACAGAGUUGUUGCAAGUCUACCAAAUACAGCAGUAUAAUUUAAAACCUAAUCUGAAAUUUUAGUAGAAAAUAAUAAUAUUUCUUUAAUUGACUGAAGUGGCCGGCUACACUUAUUCAAUAGACUGUGAUCCGCAUGACACCGAUUUUCAAAUAUUUUAUUUAUAAUUUAUUGGUCCUUAGAACAUCUUCAAGGUUAAUAUCUAAAUUCAUUAACUUUAAUAUUUGACGAAAGUGAUUAUACAAUUUUUUUACUAACAGUAAAAUACAUUCCAUGGCUGUAAUCGAUACGGACUGUCCGAUGUCUCGGUUUAUAUCCGGCUCGAAAAUAUGAUAAACCCGUAUAAUAUAUGAUCCCGGAUAUGAGCACACCUAUACCCGCUCAGAUUUGGUCUCAUAUAACUUUUCAUAAUAUGAUCCUACCCGAAUACCCGAAUAUGAUUCACGGUUCAUAUUCGAUUCGAACUAAUAUACAUAUUAUACUUUUAAUCCAUCACAUUUGUAAUUAAAUAGUCAUCAUUUUAUAAAAUUUUAAUAUCUUGUUUAAGUUUAUAUCUUCAUAAAAUAUGAUUUAUUUAAUGUGAUAAUGCUUAUUAUCUUCAUAUAUAUUUAAUAAACGAUAUAUACCAACUGUUGUGAGAGGAAUUGAUACAACACCCCCAGAACCGUAUAGCACAAUUAUAGGGAUAUCUGUUACAACUACGAAAAUCACGGCUAGCUCUUAGGGGCUGCCGUUAACAUAAACUAAAGAAAUUCAAAUGAAAAACAAGUGUGUUUAAGGGCUGAGCUUGCAAAGAACCAAACAACGAGGCCGGAAUUAUGGAAUUCCGUCCUGCGAUUGCCCGGAAAUGUACGCCACAAAGGUUACACGUGCCUCUCUUUAGAGUGUAGAACUCGUGAGUUUAUGAAUCCGAAAUUCGAUCCCUUUGCAAGGUGGCUACAUACCCUAUAUUUAUAGGAAUCAAGCCCAUGUAGUUCUUGAUUUAGGACUCUGAAGAGAUAAGCUCUUAUCCCCUUUAGUUUAGGAUAAAACAGCCUUCUUUCAAUAGUUAUCCAGCGGAAUCCCACUCCAAGUAGGUCAUUUGAAGCCUUCAUCUUUAAUAUAUAUCCGAAUAUUUGCACCAGAUAUGUAUAUAUGUUGUAAUUAUCUCCAAAUAAGCAUGAUUAUCCUUUAAAUGGUGGAUAUAUACCAGCUGAUAUACUCCCAAUCCACCUCCAAUUCGUCCUCCUAGAAACAAGGAAUAAGAGUCCUGCUUGGAGUUUGCCUGCCGUUCUGCCCAGGCGGCGGAAGCCCUGCCAGCGGCAUCCCCUAACUGCAACCCUGUAGCUGCAAGCCAGGAUGCGCUUAGCGGUAACCCCUAGCAGAGAUAACCCCUAAAGCGCCUUCAGGUGCAACCUCAUGCUGAUGGCAGCCUCCAUUAUGCUUCCAAUGCAAAUUCGUAUACCUUCUUGAACACCUUCAAUGGCUCGCCCAACCAUGGUGAAGCCCAAUAUCAUUUACCAAAUGACUCCAGUAAGCCCAAAUGAAACCCAAAUAAUAUGAUGGGCUAUAAAAUAAGCCCAAGAAAUUUUAUGGCACAACACUCACGUAUUCAAGAACUUAAAUUUAGUAAACACACGUGUGCAUAAUUAGAUGGAGUAUAUACAUCCUAUUGUAAAACUGUGUGAUGUUUCACUAAGCCCAAGUAAACCAAACAGCAGAAAACCCAAACUGGGGACUUUCAUUAAGUGAACUAAAUUGGUUAUCAAUACACAGAUCUGUCAGUGUUUUGAGUAGUCGUCCAUUAUAUCACUACUAGAAAUUUCAUUAUUCCCAACGAAAUAUUAUGUUGGCAAAUCAAGAAAAUCCGUUGGUAAAAGAGAUUCCUAACGGAAUGCCCACUGAACUGGACCGUUAGAGUAUACGUUGUUGGGAAGCACCUCGCCAACCGAAUUAGGUGUCCGUUGCUAAGUUAGCAACCGAGUAGUAACAAUCUAGUAACAGACCUUUGUUUUGCAAAAUAACAAAAGAAACACCAUCCCACCAACAGAAUAUUUUGGUUGGCAAUUCUAGCAACAAAUGCCCAACGGGAAAUCCGAUGUUAAAUAUAGUCAAAAUUGUUAAAUUUAACAACAAAGAACUAACAGACUCUUUCAGUUGUUAAAUUUUCGUUAGUAGAUAUAAACACAUUCUGUUGGUAUGCAUGCUUAAAUACAGUGCAAAUUUUUCAUUUUCUAGAAUUGUUCAUUUUUAUGUCUAUAGAAAUGCAAAUAAAAACAACAAAAGUGUACACUUUUCACAUAAUAAACAUUUCUUUACGAUCUUCAAAAUGAGGUAAGAGUUACCCGAUACAAUAGUGUUCAAGUACUAUAUCUAAAAGGAGCCAUCAAUUACUAACGAGGCUUGAAAACUAGCUAGUACUAACACGACCAUAGCUAUUCGAUUCUCCAUGGCUUUCAUCUUAUCCCCAUCACAUUUAGUUCUUCAUGCAACUUCUGAUUUUUUGCAUCAGCAAAGGAUGGACAGCAAGGAAUCUCCGGCUUAUAAAAGAGAGAUUGCAAUGAACCAACUCCAUGGACCUUGUUAUCUCUUUUUUUUUUUUCACACAUGUAUUGGUACUUGUCAUCCACCUGCUCUCAUGAAUAAAUUGAUAUCUUAGAUAAUCUUAUAUGUAGCUACCAAAAACUCAAGUACUUGCUAAAAAGCAGUUUAACAACUUUAUGAUAUAGAAUGCAGUGAAACCUAGAAUGCAGACACAAUCUCAGAGGCCUUAAGCCUAUUACUUGACUUCUAAUUAAUUGAAGAUUUGUGGGCAUUUUACAGAAGAACUCCUGAAUACUAUAUGAUUUACAUAAAAAUGUCAAGAAUCCACCGACUAAAGUUCUAGUCAAAUUCUUUAAAUUCGUAACUAAAAUUCAAAGGUAAAAGUUAAAGUUUUGUUAGAGAUUUCUACAUACAAUUGACAAGCAUAUUUUAUAACAAAAGUUUCAAUUAUUGAAAAUUAUCUAGAAGCAACAACAAAGAAAAACUCUGCUCUCACUAUAUACUUCUUCCAGAAAACACCCAAACUCUUCAGUAAAACUUUUUCCUUGUGGUUGGGAAUGCAAUGCAAGAUCAACAAGAGAUAACAUCUUAAGUGCCUUGGCAUCAAAUUCAUAGAUUAAGUUAGCACUAUGGCGCACAAACUUGUUCUGCAUACUUGUAAAUGCAUUAAGCAACGGUACUUGACCUUAAACAAACAAAACAGAACAUCAAAGUGGAAAAAUGAGGUCUCUCCUCAUUGAAGUUCCAUAAUCAGGCAUGCAUAUUAAUAAAUUCAUUGUUAAACAUUAUAAUUUAGGGGAAGACAAUCAUAUUUGCUAUUACCGAAUCUAUUUUACGACAUCAAUGCAUAUAUCAAGUGUCAACAUAAAUUUAAUCUAAUAGAACCAAUAACACAACUUGUUCCUCAAUUCAAUUUCACAAUAAGCUGCCCAUUCAGAACAAUAAUUACUUGUUAGAUUAUAUACAAGUAUACCAAGAACCCCCCAUAAUAUAAUCAGCAAAUGUCAAUUAAAAACAUAAAGGAACAAAACUAUACCUGAAGACUUGCACGAGAUGACCUCGAAAUCGGCCUUUUCUUGUUACCAUCUCCUUGCUAGCCGCUACUGCCGCAUCAGCUGUUUUUCCAGCUACUAAUCAAAGUGUUAGAUUCUGAAAAAAUGAAAAAAAAAACAGGGGAUUACAUACACACACAUCCAAAUCCAAAACCCACACAAAUAACAAAUCAACAAAUAGAAAGAAUAGGAAAUCAACAAAUCGAAACAUGAACAUGAAACCCGUAUAAAAACAUACAUAAAUCUAAUUGUAAAAACAUCAAAAUCGAACCCACAUAACUUAUAAAACAUGAAAAUCGACCAAUCGAACCCCAAAAAUCAACAUCAUACUAGAGAAAAGCGGAGUAAAACCCUAAGGGUAACUAAUUUGAUAACUAAAUCGACGGAUCUACACAAAAAAAUUCAUUCUCGAACAGCAGCGUCAUAAGUAUGAUCAUUUUGAAGCUUUAGAGGUGGCCGCCGUUACAAAACACACCUAAAGAUACACAAAGAGAGAUAGAGUUUUGGGAGAGGCCGGACUAAUUUUGGGGGGAGAGUUUUGUAAAUUUCGGGGUUGGGGUUGGGGGAAAUGGCUGGGGGAGAUUCACAAAACGAGGGAAAACUUUUGGCUGUGCCGGAUUUUCAAUAUUUCAUCGAAGGCUAAAUUAAUAUUUUAUCGUAUUUGACUAAAAAUUCACACACUAAAAGAAACUAAAUUGUUUUAAAAUUAUUUUAAUCAAUAUUAACACGUUGAAAUAACAUCCAUACAGUUUGGAUCGUCCAAAAUAAUUAUUUUAAGAUUAGUUUCAUAUUUCGUAUAAAUAUUCUAUUAAAGACUAAGUAAUUUGACCUCAUAUGACUAUAAAAUUCAUACACCAAAUUAAAGGCUAAUUUUUUUUCAAAAAAUUUAAUCAAUAUUAUCACGUUACAAUAACAUCUGUAUGGUUAGAUCGUAAAAAAUAAUUUUCAAAAAAAUAGUUUCGUGUUUCAGGUAAGUAUUCGAUUAAAGGCUAAGUAAUUUGAACGCAUUUGACUACAAAAUCCACACACCAAAUAAAAGGCUAUUUUUUUAUAAAAAAAUAAUCAAUAUUAUCACGUUACAAUAACAUUUGUACGGUUGGAUCAUCCAAAAUGAUUUUUUAAAAAAUAAUUUCAUGUUUCGUGUAAGUAUUUCAUUAAAGGCUAAGUAAUUUGACUGCAUUUGAAUACAAAAUCCACACACCAAAUAAAAGGCUAAAUUUUUUCAAAAAAAAAAAUUAAUCACUAUUAUCACGUUACAAUAAUAUCCGUACGGUUGGAUCGUCCGAAAUGAUUUAAAAAAAACAGUUUCAUGUUUUGGAUAAGUAUUCGAUUAAAGGCUAAGUAAUUUGACCGCAUUUGAUCGCAAAAUCCACACACCAAAUAAAAGGCUAUUUUUUAAAAAAUUUUAAUCAAUAUUAUCAAAUUACAAUAAUGUCUGUAUAGUUGGAUCAUCAAAAAUAAAAAAUAUUUUUAUGUUUCGAGUAGGUAUUCGAUCAAAGGCUAACUAAAUUUACCGCAUUUGACUACAAAAUCCACAUACCAAAUAAAAGAUUAACUUUUUUUAAAAUUUCUUAAAUAUAAAAUUUCUGGUUAAGAAUGUAAUAUAAAAUUUCUAGUUAAAAAUGAGCCAAUUAACAAUUAUGUUACAUGUAUAAAUUCAAGAAAAUUACUUAAUAUUUACAAUACAUAUCAAAACCCAUUAUAUUUUUGGCCUUUUCCUACAACCCAAAUCAAUUUAAUGAACUAGAGCCCAUUGGGCUUUAACAUGACACACUGUCAACUAAGAGACUGGAAUUGUAUUCGUGUAUGUGCUCAUGUAGUGUAUAUCAAUUGUUCAUGUAAAAGUAAAACCAAUAAUCAAUUACUAACGGAACUGUUGGUAUUUAUCAACGGAAUAUCAACGCACGUAAUAACAGAAGCUUUCGUUACUAGUCUGUUGCUCAUUCCUUGGCAUUUUGUUACUAUUUCAUUGUGUGGCUAAAAUUCCUAACGGAACGUCUCGUUGGUAAAUAAGCGUGGGUAUUUCGUUGCGACUUGGUUGGCAGAACAUUGAUUAGUCAAAUCGUUACAAAUCCGUUGGGAACUACCAACGGACUAAUUUCCCUUAGGAAAUUCCAUUGGUAGAAACGCUUUCUCUUGUAGUGUAUAGUGUGUUUGACUUUUUACAUGUAUUUUUAGAAGUUUUGAUCACAUAUUAAAAUUGGUGUUUUUUUAAAAAAUUCUGAAUAAAAAUAUUUAUAUUAUAUAUUUUUAUUCAUAAAAAAAUAUAAUUAUUAUUUGCAAUAUAUUCAAAACAUAUCAAACGACUUGUAUAGCGGAAUAGAGAGUCCUUGACUAUGAAUACAUAUUGACAACCGGAGGAUUAGGCCAUCGAUGCAUGAACCUGGCUGCUUUUCCUUCUUAAACCUGACCUUUUUCCAGAACCUUAGCAUGAUCACUCUUAAACGAAGCAUAAAUAGCUAUUACCAUCGACACAACAUAAAUAACCAAAGCAAAUCCCACAAGUAUGCCAAGACACAACACGGCAGCCGUGGCUUCUCUGCACCCGCACGAUAGCAACCCGAUUCGAAUCUGAAUUAUAUUCACAAUCGAAAGAGAAAGCGAGAUUAUCCCAGCAACCGAGCCGCAUGCAGAUAUUGCUAACAUAAAUUCUUUCAAAUCGAAAUCUGGAGUUGUGAAGGCGUAUUUAUCUGCCCCGUCAAGGUAGAGAUGAAGCUUGAGUACCUUGGCAACGAUGCUUGACAAGAGGAAGCAAGAAAACGCGAUAACUUCGUAGAGAAUCAGCAUUUUGGCUUCUCUAGGGCCUGCGUGACACUCUUGUCUCGA